rnacentral:rRNA from 1 species
UACGUAGGUUCCAAGCGUUACCCGGUUUUACUGGGCGUAAAGAGUCUGUAGGUGGUUUUCUAAGUCUUGUUUCAAAGACCCCGGCCUAACCGGGGGAAGGGGCAGGAUACUAGAAGACUAGAGUUAUAUCGGGGUUACUGGAAUUUGUAGUGUAGGGGUAAAAUCCGUGGAUACUACAAAGAACACCAAGCGCGAAGGCGGGUAACCAGGUAUGUACUGACACUCAGAGACGAAAGCUAGGGUAG